GGUGGCUCAGUGGUAGAGUGCUUGCCUUACAAGCAUGAGGCCCUGGGUUCGAUUCCUCAGCACCA
rnacentral:tRNA from 1 species